GGCGUGUUGUAGAAGCAUGGGAGUCGGUAUCAUUGAUCCAUCGAUUUACUGCUACGUAAUUAUUCUAUCGCGGUCGUGAAUUGUAUUUGUGGUACGGUGAUUUAAUCUUUAUCUUAACAAACGUAAGACAUUAGUGUAUUGUGUGUAUAAUAGUGGAAUAUGCUUUCAUAUCCUGAGGACCUACCUACCUUGUGGCAAAAAGUCUGAGCAGUCUUGUGGUAAAAGAAAUUCUCGUGCUAGUCCCUAAGAGGUUUUCCGGAUUCC